rfam:Oryza glaberrima chromosome 10 Oglab10_0132_5, whole genome shotgun sequence.
AAAAAGAUAAACCCUGGAUUUUUGUGUCUAACUUUAACUGUCCGUCUUAUAUAAAAUUUUUUUAUAAUUCAUAUUUUCAUUGUUGUUAGAUGAUAAAAAUAUGAUUAAUAUUUAAUACGUGACUUGUCUUUUUAAUUUUUUUAAUAAUUUUUUUAAAUAAGACGAACGGUCAAAUGUUGGGCACGGAAUCCAGGGUUUGUCUUUUU